GUUGCAAGAAAAAGUAUGUGAACCCUUUGGAAUGAUAUGGAUUUCUGCACAAAUUGGUCAUAAAAUGUGAUCUGAUCAUCAUCUAAUUCACAACAAUAGACAAUCACAGUCUGCUUAAACUAAUAACACACAAAGAAUGAAAUGUUGCCAUGUUUUUAUUGAACACACCAUGUAAACAUUCACAGUGCAGGUGGAAAAAGCAUGUGAACCCCUAGACUAAUGACAUCUCCAAGAGCUAAUUGGAGUGAGAUGUCAGCCAACUGGAGUCCAAUCAAUGAGAUGAGAUUGGAGGUGUUGGUUACAGCUGCCCUGCCCUAUAAAAAACACACACCAGUUCUGGGUUUGCUUUUCACAAGAAGCAUUGCCUGAUGUGAAUGAUGCCUCGCACAAAAGAGCUCUCAGAAGACCUACGAUUAAGAAUUGUUGACUUGCAUAAAGCUGGAAAGGGUUAUAAAAGUAUCUCC